CAGCAAAAGCCGUGAAUGCAAGGAGGAUGUGACUAAGCCUGAAAGGAUCACAGUGCCAGCCACCCUGAGGUAGGAGUGAGUCAGCAGAAGCAGGCCGCUGAGUUUCCAACAGCAAUCAUCUUGCACUUGCACAACAGGGAAACAGGAGUGUCAUCAAAAGUAAAUUCCAGCCGAGACAUUCUCUCCUAUAUGAGAAGCAAAAGAUCUUCUGCCAGAAGGUGUUUCCUUUGUUGAUUCAUCAAUUAUGCACAGUGCUCUGUGUAAGGCACUGUGUAGAGUCCAGACCAUGCCCUCUGGAACCAGACCGUCCCCUGGACGAGAGAGAAAGCAUAUAUUUUACUAGCCACGAUACAAGGUAAACUUUGCCCAGAGCAUGGAGCUGGAGGAAGUGGAAGCAAGGCUGAAGUAGACAAAGUAGGUAUGGAAGGUCCUUGCAUAAAGAGGGGCUGGAGUUCUAAAUACAAGGAAGCCGAAUACAACGGUUGGAACAAACUGGAAAUCAUUAUGUUGGCAGACAGACAAGGCAGACAAAAAGCGGAGGACUCAAAAAAAGCAGACAAAAAGUGAAGGAUUGCCAAAUAGCUAAUCAAUGUAUGUGGUUAAAACUUCAUGUUAAAAACUAGAACAUUGGGCAUGGUGGCAUGCAUCUGUAGUUCCUGCUACUCUGGAGGUUGAGGCAGGGGGAUCUGUGGAGCCAAGAGUUGGAGACAGCCUUGGCAACAUAGCAAGACCCUGUCUAAAAAAAAAAAAAAAUUAAAUAAGGAACAAAGUCCACACCAGGCAGAUCAGGAAAAUGGAAGAUCAGAUCUGGGAUGGCUACAACAUAGAGAAUCCAACUAUAUAAAGCUAAGUUUGUCCUCAGCCAACAGUCUUUAAUUUUUUUUUUCUAAAUAACAGGAUCUAUGGACCUAAAUUGGGCUAGACUGAGACUUGAAGACAAUUAGGAGAGGAGUGAAGUAGAAAAUUAAAAUACGUAGUACUACCCAGCCAUUAUUUCCUUCCUAAGAAACAGUAUACAGUUUAAGUUCCUCAGCACUGUAGGACUUGUUUAAAUAAAAACAACAGUUAAUAUUCAUUGAAUCCCUCUAUGUACUAGGUACAGUUUUAAGCAUCUUGCAUGUAUUCACUCAUUUAAUCCUCAUAACAAUCCUAUGAAAUAGGUACUAUUGAUAUUGCUGUCCUUCAGAUGAGAAAACAAGUAAAGAGAGGUUAAGCAACUUGCUCAAGGCCAGGUGGCCCCAAGUGCAGAGUCAGGAUUUGAACUCAGGCAGUCUAAAUUCAGGGUCUGAAUUCUUAACCACUAUUUUAUACUGUCUGCUGCAGCAUAAGUAUGUCUAUGGAUUUUAUACAGAAAUCAACUCUCAGUUGUUGGAUUUUAUACAGAAAUCAACUCUCACUUGCAAUGAACUAUUAAGGCUCAAUCAUUGUUGAUGCUGUUAUUUAAUACAAUUAGGAAGGCAAUUUAGAUGUUCUCUGUACAGCAUUGCCUACUGUUUAUGUUUAAAAUGUACUCAAUCCAAUGUCUUAUGUAUAAAUGCUAACAUCUGAAAUCACAAAUAUCUGAUCUGUGAUGUGAUGUGGUUUCAAAGAAAACAAUGCCAACGUAAUUUUCAUGGUAGGAAGGCAACCAAAGAAACUCCAGGAAUCCGAGUGUGUCUGUGUGUGUGUGUGUGCAAUUGAUUAUUUUGUUCUGCAUGCAUUCUUUUUUUCUUUAUUCAGUGUUGGCUCAGAUUUUGUGGACUUGUUCAAACAUUUAUUUUGAAAUGUACCAGUGCACGUACACAGAAGAAGCUACACUUUUUAUCUUACAUCUCUAGAGUUUGUCUUCUUGCUUGAGGCUCCAUGGCACACCAUAGCUUAAGGGAAGGGAGAAACUUAAAGAAAGAAAACCCAGGUUGAAUAAGAAAGCCUUAUGAUUAUAAAACAAAGUGGAGUUAUUUUCAAAGUGAAUAAGAAAUAAAUGAAACAGAAUAACAUUUCCUAAUGGUUUUGUCAUGUUUUUAUGACACUCACAGUUUUAUUUACAUUUGUAGAUUGCUUUCUCUUUUUAAAAUCCAGAAUCAAGGAUGUCUCUGGUAAGGACUAACCUUUCAAACUGCACUGACAAUUGUUGGUGACUGCUUUAUAGUUACCCCUAAUUAAACACUGUUAUCUCUCUCCAUCAUGCACAUUUGAAAUCCUUUUUAAGAUAGCAGCAACUGAAAACACACAUAACACACACACACCACCCCACAUUAGAAGUGUGAACAACAGAAACAGAAACAUAGACAAGGUUGCAGAGAGCAAAUGUGAACUUUCCCUCCAGCAUCUAGAGAAUAAAGGCCAAGCCAGAAGGUUUUUAAGUUUAUAUGAACACAUUUGAUUUUGCAUUCUCAUCUGAGAAACUUUAGAUUACUGGUUUGGGAGAUGUCACUAUGUGUCCAGUUGGAAAUGUAGUCCAAUGCAUGGCAAAUAUAAAUUAAUGUAUGUGAAAAUAUAAACUAGUGACAGCAAAAAGAUGUACAAAACACAUGUGUUCUAGUAUAAUUCUAUCACAGGGAGAUUCUGCUUUUGUUUCAUUUUCUGUUUUUAUGCUUUCUAAUAAGUUGUUAAAAUUUUCAAAUAAAGUAAUAAAAUGCAUUCCUGGCUUAUUUGGUGAACUAUAGGAAGUAUAAUAACAUGAUAAGAAAGAACUAAAAUUUAAUUCAUUAGCUCAAAGUUAUUCUUAGAUACCUCUUAUAACCCUCCAGUAAGCAAAACAAAACAAAACAAAAAUACAAAAAGCAAUCCUCUGAACAUUAUGAAAAUUUUCCCUGGG
rnacentral:lncRNA from 1 species